rnacentral:rRNA from 1 species
UUCCCAGGCCUUGUACACACCGCCCGUCACACCAUGGGAGUUGGAUUCACCCGAAGGCAGUGCGCUAACCGCAAGGAGGCAGCUGACCACGGUGGGUUCAGCGACUGGGGUGAAGUCGUAACAAGGUAGCCGUAGGGGAACCUGCGGCUGGAUCACCUCCUUU